rnacentral:rRNA from 1 species
UUGUGCUAAGGUAGCAUAAUCAUUUGUCUUUUAAUUAAAGACUAGAACAAAAGACUGAACAUUUUAAUUAAUUUAUUAUAAUUAAAUAUUAAAUUUAUUUUAAAUGUAAAAAAACAUUUAUAUACAAAGAAGACGACAAGACCCUAUUGAACUUAACUUAAGUUAAACUGGGGCAGUAAAUUAAUCAAUAUUUUAAUUAAAAUACUAAAAUAAAUAAGACCUAAUAAAAUUAAUCAAAUGAUCAAGUUACCAUAGGGAUAACAGCGUAAUAAAAAUUUAAAGAUCUUAUUAAAAUUAAAAGAUUACGACCUCGAUGUUGAAUUAAUUACCUAAUUAUUGCAAUAACGCAAUAGUUAAAAAGG